rnacentral:rRNA from 1 species
UACGUAGGGGGCAAGCGUUGUCCGGAAUCAUUGGGCGUAAAGCGCGUGUAGGUGGUGGGACAAGUCUGCUGUGAAAGCGCCUGGCUUAACCGGGCGAGGUCGGCGGAAACUGUCGCACUCGAGGACGGUAGAGGGGGGUGGAAUUCCCGGUGUAGUGGUGAAAUGCGUAGAGAUCGGGAGGAACACCUGUGGCGAAGGCGGCCCCCUGGGCCGGCCCUGACACUGAGACGCGAAGGCGUGGGGAGCGAACGGG